UCCGAUCUCCAGCAUCUGCAGUCCUCACUUUCACCAUGGUAGCGACCACCAAACCACCCAGUUAUCCAAUUAAAACAAGUAACAAUGAGCAAGCACUGCCCAGCAGGGACAAUGCAAUCGUGAAAAAAAGAAGGAAAGGUGAUACCUUGAUUUAAACAAUCUAAUUUUUGUUUUGAAACCUGUCUGCAACUUCCUCCGGGCCUAAAAUCCUUUGAGAUAUCUGGAUUGUUCCAAUUCUGGCUUCUUGAGAGUUUGCAAUUUUCAUCACUCCACCAUUGCCAAUCAGCUACCAGUCCCAAAACUUUGGAAUUCACUUGUUUAAUAUUUUUAAAACUAUCUUUCCUACUUUAAGAUGCUCCUUAAAGCCUUCCUCUUUGUUUUUGGUCACAUCUCCUAACUGUCCUUAUGCAGUUACAUGUCAAAUUCUGUUUGCUAAUUGCUCCUGUGAAGCAAUUAGAGGAUAUGCAAGAAAUGCUAGUCCUGUUAGUGACACUCACAUCCUGAGAAUGAAUUUAAAAGCUCACAGUAUAGCUGGGAAAAUGAACCUGAUCUAUACGGCUCAGUAUUAAACACGUCAUGUGACUUCAUGCAAAUUUCAAAAUGGCCUUUGAGUGGAAUAUUUUAUUUAUAAACAUUAAAGUUUCAAACCAUAUAUGUUUAUAGUGCAGAAGCAGCCAAUCACUACAUUGUGCCGGUGUCAAAUUCUUUUUAAGAGCUUUGUCCCCCAAAUCUCUGUCUUUUUCAACUGCAUUCAGUGAGACUGUUUAUUCUGAAAUUAUAAGCAAGUAUUAUAACAGUGAGGUUGUUUGAGUCAAGCUGAGCUGAUUUUAUAAAGGACCUUAAUGUAAGCCAGAGGUCUUAAAGGUGACAAGGCAACACUCUGAAGCAGUGAUCCAUUGUUUCCUAGGAACUCAGCAUUUUUAACUGAAUUGUAAUGGAUAAAUUAGAACUUCAGAUAAAAUGAAUCUUGAAGGAGCAGUGAGCAUUUAGCUCAGACUGGUAGCAUUUUCUGAAGCAGUACAAUGUUUUGCUUUCCAAAUUUGUAUACAAGUGAAAGAGAUAAACAA